ensembl:snRNA U6 U6 spliceosomal RNA
GUGGUUGCUUCGGCAGCACAUAUACUAAAAUUGAAACGAUACAGAGAAGAUUAGCAAGGCCACUGCUCAAGGAUGACAUGCAAAUUCAUGAAGCAUUCCAUAUUAAA